rnacentral:tRNA from 1 species
GGCCGUGUGGCGAAAUGGCAUCGCGUCUGACUACGAUAACGCGGCAUCAGGAGAUUGCAGGUUCGACCCCUGUCUCGGUCA